rnacentral:rRNA from 1 species
CGAACGGGUGAGUAAUACAUCGGAACGUGUCCGCUCGUGGGGGGACAACCAGCCGAAAGGUUGGCUAAUACCGCAUGAGUUCUACGGAAGAAAGAGGGGGACCCGCAAGGGCCUCUCGCGAGCGGAGCGGCCGAUGACUGAUUAGCCUGUUGGUGAGGUAACGGCUCACCAAAGCAACGAUCAGUAGCUGGUCUGAGAGGACGACCAGCCACACUGGGACUGAGACACGGCCCAGACUCCUACGGGAGGCAGCAG